GACGAACGCUGGCGGCGUGCUUAACACAUGCAAGUCGAACGGUAAGGCCCUUCGGGGUACACGAGUGGCGAACGGGUGAGUAACACGUGGGUGAUCUGCCCUGCACUUCGGGAUAAGCCUGGGAAACUGGGUCUAAUACCGGAUAGGACCACUGCCUGCAUGGGUGGUGGUGGAAAGCUUUUGCGGUGUGGGAUGGGCCCGCGGCCUAUCAGCUUGUUGGUGGGGUGAUGGCCUACCAAGGCGGCGACGGGUAGCCGGCCUGAGAGGGUGACCGGCCACACUGGGACUGAGAUACGGCCCAGGCUCCUGCGGGAGGCAGCAGUGGGGAAUAUUGCACAAUGGGCGCAAGCCUGAUGCAGCGACGCCGCGUGAGGGAUGACGGCCUUCGGGUUGUAAACCUCUUUCAGCACCGACGAAGCGCAAGUGACGGUAGGUGCAGAAGAAGGACCGGCCAACUACGUGCCAGCCGCCGCAGUAA
rnacentral:rRNA from 1 species